rnacentral:rRNA from 1 species
GAUGAACGCUGGCGGCGUGCUUAAUACAUGCAAGUCGAACGGAGUAUGUAGCAAUACGUACUUAGUGGCGAACGGGUGAGUAACGCGUGAGCAACCUGCCUUCACAGGGGGAUAAGGCGGCGAAAGCCGCUCUAAUACCGCAUGAGACCACGGGGAUGAUAUUCCAGGGGUCAAAGGAGCAAUCCGGUGAGAGAUGGGCUCGCGUCCGAUUAGGUAGUUGGUGAGGUAACGGCCCACCAAGCCAAUGAUCGGUAGCCGGCCUGAGAGGGUGAACGGCCACAUUGGAACUGAGAGACGGUCCAAACUCCUACGGGAGGCAGCAGUGGGGAAUAUUGGGCAAUGGGGGAAACCCUGACCCAGCAACGCCGCGUGAGGGAAGAAGGUUUUCGGAUUGUAAACCUCUGUUCUUGGAGAAGAGAAGAAGACGGUAUCCAAGGAGGAAGCACCGGCUAACUCCGUG